GACGAACGCUGGCGGCGUGCUUAACACAUGCAAGUCGAGCGGUAAGGCCCUUUCGGGGGUACACGAGCGGCGAACGGGUGAGUAACACGUGGGUGACCUGCCCUUAGCUCUGGGAUAAGCCUGGGAAACUGGGUCUAAUACCGGAUAUGACUCCAUGACGCAUGUUGUGGGGUGGAAAGCCUUGUGCGGCUAGGGAUGGGCCCGCGGCCUAUCAGCUUGUUGGUGGGGUGANGGCCUACCAAGGCGACGACGGGUAGCCGGCCUGAGAGGGCGACCGGCCACACUGGGACCGAGACACGGCCCAGACUCCUACGGGAGGCAGCAGUGGGGAAUCUUGCGCAAUGGGCGAAAGCCUGACGCAGCGACGCCGCGUGGGGAUGACGGCCUCGG
rnacentral:rRNA from 1 species